rnacentral:rRNA from 1 species
CCUACGGGAGGCAGCAGUGAGGAAUAUUGGUCAAUGGGCGGAAGCCUGAACCAGCCAAGUAGUUUGCGGGAUGAAGGCCCUACGGGUCGUCAACCGCUUUUGCACGGGGAUAACACCCUCCACUUGUGGAGGUCUGCAGGUACCGUGCGAAUAAGGGCCGGCUAAUUCCGUGCCAGCAGCCGCGGUAAUACGGAAGGCCCGAGCGUUAUCCGGAUUCAUUGGGCUAAAAGGGAGCGUAGGCGGGCGUUCAAGUCAGCGGUAAAAUCGCGCGGCUCAACCGCGCCCCGCAGUUGAAACUGGACGCCUUGAGUUCACAACAGGCAGGCGGAAUUCGUGGUGUAGCGGUGAAAUGCAUAGAUAUCACGAGGAACCCCGAUUGCGAAGGCAGCCUGCCGGGGUGCGACUGACGCUGAGGCUCGAAGGUGCGGGUAUCAAACAGGAUUAGAUACCCGGGUAGUC